rnacentral:hammerhead_ribozyme from 1 species
AUCCAACUGACAAGUCCUAAAUAGGACGAAACACGUAUCCUGUAU